rnacentral:rRNA from 1 species
AAAGUAGAGUGGCGGACGGGUGAGUAGCGCGUGGGAAUCUGCCCAGUAGUGGGGGAUAACUCGAGGAAACUCGAGCUAAUACCGCAUACGCCCCAUGGGGGAAAGGCUUCGGCCGCUAUUGGAUGAGCCCGCGUCAGAUUAGCUAGUUGGUAGGGUAAAGGCCUACCAAGGCGACGAUCUGUAGCUGGUCUGAGAGGACGAACAGCCACACUGGGACUGAGACACGGCCCAG